AGUGUCCCUGCUGCCAACCGCGCCAGCCGCCCCAGCCGGCGGGAGGCCCCUUUCCGUGCGGGCAGUGCCAACGGGAGUUUGAAACCAUCAAGGAGAGGAACAAGCACAGGAGAAGACAUCGCCCACGCAAGGAUGCACAGCCUCUCCCCAAGAAGAAAAGGCCAAAUUAGCCCUGCAUUUGCCCCAGGCUAGCAAGAGUUAGGGAUCGAGAGGACUAGAUAGAAAUAAUACUGUUUUUCAAGUUUUUAGAAUUGUUUGUUCUUCUAUUAUUUUACGUGAUAGGAAUCUCUCUGUUUAUUAGUUAAGAUACAAUAGCAUUAUUAAAGAUGUUUAGUAGUGUUAGAUUUAUUAGUAAAUGUAAGAAGUUUGGUGUUUGCUAUGCUUCAACUUUUCACAUUUUGUCUUUGUUGAGACACGAUCUGUGUUUAUCAUUAAACCAAAGUUUGUUCCA